CCUUUUUAGUAGUGCAUCACUUGGCUCAUGGUUUGAAGAACUCUGCUAGUUUCAAAAAGUAUAGUGAAUAGCAGGACACAUUGAUCAUGACACUAUAAUCACACCUUGUAGCCUCGGAUCCCUCCUGGGGUUAUACCCAUCUGAGGGUCG
rnacentral:rRNA from 14 species